GUUUAAAUAGUUUAUUUUAAAACAUUAAUUUGUGAAAUUAAAAAAAUAUUUUAUAUUUUAAACA
rnacentral:tRNA from 1 species